GACGAACGCUGGCGGCGUGCUUAACACAUGCAAGUCGAGCGGUAAGGCCCUUUCGGGGGUACACGAGCGGCGAACGGGUGAGUAACACGUGGGUGACCUGCCCUCAGCUCUGGGAUAAGCCUGGGAAACCGGGUCUAAUACCGGAUAUGACUCCAUGACGCAUGUUGUGGGGUGGAAAGCCUUGUGCGGCUGAGGAUGGGCCCGCGGCCUAUCAGCUUGUUGGUGGGGNGAUGGCCUACCAAGGCGACGACGGGUAGCCGGCCUGAGAGGGCGACCGGCCACACUGGGACUGAGACACGGCCCGGACUCCUACGGGAGGCAGCAGUGGGGAAUCUUGCGCAAUGGGCGAAAGCCUGACGCAGCGACGCCGCGUGAGGGAUGACGGCCUGGU
rnacentral:rRNA from 1 species